AUGCACCUCAGACAUCUCAUCCUCCCUGUCUUCCUGGGGCAACUGCUGGGCACCAUGGGACAAGUCACGGUCACUCAGCAAGAAGCACAAGUCACCUUACAGGACAGAGACAACUUCCAAACAACCUGUACAUAUCAGACCUCUGACUUUUAUGGCUUGCUCUGGUACCAGCUGAAGAAAGGCCAAGCUCCCCAGCUCAUCUCGUAUCAGGCAGCACCUGGGUCCAGGCCCAGUGGCCGUUUCACCACGUUUCUGAACACCACGGGGAAAUACAGCCUCCUGCAGCUGCAGGAAGCCCAGCUCUCUGACAGCGCCUUGUACCUCUGUGCUGUGCAAGACACGCUGUCAUCAAUUUAUGCAGGAGCAGUCUUAAAUAUUCCCAUAAAUGAGUGCAUUGUCUUACUGCCAGUGCAUGGUUUGCAUGUGUACUACCACAGGAACACAGAGGUACGUGUGAAUGAACAUAUGAGCACAGUCAAGUGA